rnacentral:rRNA from 1 species
AUUGAACGCUGGCGGCAUGCCUUACACAUGCAAGUCGAACGGCAGCACGGGUGCUUGCCCCUGGUGGCGAGUGGCGAACGGGUGAGUAAUACAUCAGAACAUGUCCUGUAGUGGGGGAUAGCCCGGCGAAAGCCGGAUUAAUACCGCAUACGAUCCACGGAUGAAAGCGGGGGACCUUCGGGCCUCGCGCUAUAGGGUUGGCCGAUGGCUGAUUAGCUAGUUGGUGGGGUAAAGGCCUACCAAGGCGACGAUCAGUAGCUGGUCUGAGAGGACGACCAGCCACACUGGGACUGAGACACGGCCCAGACUCCUACGGGAGGCAGCAGUGGGGAAUUUUGGACAAUGGGCGAAAGCCUGAUCCAGCAAUGCCGCGUGUGUGAAGAAGGCCUUCGGGUUGUAAAGCACUUUUGUCCGGAAAGAAAUCCUUGACUCUAAUACAGUCGGGGGAUGACGGUACCGGAAGAAUAAGCACCGGCUAACUACGUG